UAGCAAGGCGCUUAAAGGCCCAUUUAUCCUACUUCAGCAUCAUUUCCUUUUAUUGUAUUUGCUGGUUUACUUUUGUUUUAGGGCAGUUAUUAGCACAAUUGCAAUUCAUGGGUAGUGGGUGAAUGAGUCUCCUACAGACUCGGACACCAUUAGCUUCAUUUCAGUUGUUUCUUUGAUGUAUAACUUUGGAAAGAAGACAAUGGAAAAGGGGGAUCAGAAGUUAAUGAAUUUGUGGUUCAUUCUCACCUAAAGAGAAUACUUUCUUUGUGUUUGUUGUGCUUAUACUGAUUGGGACCUAUCAUUUGUAUCAGAGCCAGGUUCAUGACGACAAACAAGGAACGGAUCGAGCUUCUAGAGGAGGGGCUGGAGGAGUUCAAGAAGGAAUGCAGCGAAUGGAGGUGGGAAUCACCGACAAGAUCCAACGAAUAGAAGAAACUAUUGCAAAACUAUCUGAAGCAUUCCUCUCAAGCAGAGGAUCACCUAGCCAU
rnacentral:lncRNA from 1 species